rnacentral:rRNA from 1 species
UAAUACGAAGGGGGCUAGCGUUGCUCGGAAUUACUGGGCGUAAAGGGCGCGUAGGCGGACAGUUAAGUCGGGGGUGAAAGCCCGGGGCUCAACCUCGGAAUUGCCUUCGAUACUGGCUGUCUUGAGUACGGGAGAGGUGUGUGGAACUCCGAGUGUAGAGGUGAAAUUCGUAGAUAUUCGGAAGAACACCAGUGGCGAAGGCGACACACUGGCCCGUUACUGACGCUGAGGCGCGAAAGCGUGGGGAGCAAACAGG